rnacentral:rRNA from 1 species
GAUGAACGCUGGCGGCGUGCCUAAUACAUGCAAGUCGAGCGAACAGACGAGGAGCUUGCUCCUCUGACGUUAGCGGCGGACGGGUGAGUAACACGUGGAUAACCUACCUAUAAGACUGGGAUAACUUCGGGAAACCGGAGCUAAUACCGGAUAAUAUAUUGAACCGCAUGGUUCAAUAGUGAAAGACGGUUUUGCUGUCACUUAUAGCUGGAUCCGCGCCGCAUUAGCUAGUUGGUAAGGUAACGGCUUACCAAGGCAACGGUGCGUAGCCGACCUGAGAGGGUGAUCGGCCACACUGGAACUGAGACACGGUCCAGACUCCUACGGGAGGCAGCAGUAGGGAAUCUUCCGCAAUGGGCGAAAGCCUGACGGAGCAACGCCGCGUGAGUGAUGAAGGUCUUCGGAUCGUAAAACUCUGUUAUUAGGGAAGAACAAAUGUGUAAGUAACUAUGCACGUCUUGACGGUACCUAAUCAGAAAGCCACGGCUAACUACGUG